rnacentral:lncRNA from 1 species
AAGUGCUUUGGUAGCUAGCGAGGGCUUUGAGACGGCCGAGAGUUUGAGCGCCAAGGCUCUCUCUCCCCAGGGGACUCUGCAACCUGACUAGGUGCUCCUUCCCUGAGGGUGGUAGGAAUGUAUCAUGGUGGGAGAGUCAUGGCAGCAGGCAGCUGGAACAGGACACUAAGUAAGAACACCUUCAACUACAAGCAGAAGUCAAGGAGAACUGAAAGUGGGUCCCUGAAGUCAGCUCUGGAAAACUGAGAAGAGUGCUGCGUGCAGAAUGCUUCGCUGGAUGUUUUUUUCCUCUAUUCUCACAGACAACUGGAACCUUGAGAGCCAAGGGAGAUUGUGGAGAGGAUGUGAGCAGAUGGCCGCUGAGGAUAGCUGACCGGGUGGGUGGGCUGGAACCUAGGCCAGGACCUGCCACCUGAGGAUUGUGCCUGCGAUGUCCAUAUGAUUGUGAACAGCUAAACAGGGAGCUCUGCUCUGUUGAAAAUCAUAAAGUUGAAAAUGAAAAGAGAUAAAACCUUAAGCACAGAAGAAUAUUUUGUCUUUGGUGAAAAGAACAACUUAAGAUUAAUUUUAUUUUUAUGCUGUAUAUGCGUGUGGGUAUGUGCAUGCAAAUUUGGGUGACUCCAAAGGUCAGAGCAUCAAAUCACUUGGAGCUGGGAUUAUAGGCAAAUGAAAGCUGCCAAGCAUAGGAAUCUAACGAAUGUCCUCUGUAUGAGCAGAGAGUACUCCUUACUGCAGAGCCAUGUUUCCAGCUUAAGGAGGGCUUUUAGAAAGAAGAUUGAUAGAGAAUACAUACUUAAUAGUUUGAUGUACUAAAAAGGUUAAUUUUUAUUCACUAUAGACACUAGAAAUAAUAUUUACAAUUUAUAUAAUGCAUGUGAUUAUAGAACUAGAAGUAACAAUAUUAAAUAUAAAUAAAUUAUUGUAAGUCAGAUAAGAGAGAUGGAAACCCCAGUAGGAAAAACCCAUUAAAGUAACUAAAAUGUGGACAAAUGAA